CGCGUAGGCGGGUGCUCAAGUCCGGGGUGAAAUCCUCCAGCUCAACUGGAGAACUGCCUCGGAUACUGGGUGUCUCGAGGGUGGUAGGGGUAUGCGGAACUAUCGGUGGAGCGGUGAAAUGCGUUGAUAUCGAUAGGAACUCCGGUGGCGAAGGCGGCAUACUGGACCACCUCUGACGCUGAGGCGCGAAAGCCAGGGAGCAAACG
rnacentral:rRNA from 1 species